rnacentral:rRNA from 1 species
GAUGAACGCUGGCGGCGUGCCUAACACAUGCAAGUCGAACGGACUUACAUUGAAGCCUAGCGAUAUGUAAGUUAGUGGCGGACGGGUGAGUAACGCGUGGGUAACCUGCCUUGUACUGGGGGACAACAGUUGGAAACGACUGCUAAUACCGCAUAAGCGCACAGCUUCGCAUGAAGCAGUGUGAAAAACUCCGGUGGUACAAGAUGGACCCGCGUCUGAUUAGCUGGUUGGUGAGGUAACGGCCCACCAAGGCAACGAUCAGUAGCCGGCCUGAGAGGGUGAACGGCCACAUUGGGACUGAGACACGGGCCCAAAACUCCUACGGGAGGCAGCAGUGGGGAAUAUUGCACAAUGGGGGGAAACCCUGAUGCCAGCAACGCCGCGUGAGUGAUGACGGCCUGGUGUAAGCUCUGUCUUCAGGGACGGAUAAUGACGGUACCUGA